GAUGAACGCUGGCGGCGUGCUUAACACAUGCAAGUCGAACGAGAAGUGAAGACGGAAACCUUCGGGCGGAAGGCUUUAUUUCGAGUGGCGGACGGGUGAGUAACGCGUGGGUAACCUGCCUCAUACAGGGGGAUAACAGUUAGAAACGACUGUUAAUACCGCAUAAGACCACAGCACCGCAUGGUGCGGGGGUAAAAACUCCGGUGGUAUGAGAUGGACCCGCGUUCGAUUAGCCAGUUGGCGGGGUAACGGCCCACCAAAGCGACGAUCGAUAGCCGAUCUGAGAGGAUGACCGGCCACAUUGGGACUGAGACACGGCCCAAACUCCUACGGGAGGCAGCAGUGGGGAAUAUUGCACAAUGGGGGAAACCCUGAUGCAGCGACGCCGCGUGAGUGAAGAAGUAUUUCGGUAUGUAAAGCUCUAUCAGCAGGGAAGAAAAUGACGGUACCUGAGUAAGAAGCCCCGGCUAACUACGUG
rnacentral:rRNA from 1 species